rnacentral:rRNA from 1 species
AGAGUUUGAUCCUGGCUCAGGAUGAACGCUAGCGGCAGGCUUAAUACAUGCAAGUCGAACGGGAUUCGGGGUAGCAAUACUUUGAUGAGAGUGGCGCACGGGUGCGUAACGCGUAUGCAACCUACCUUUAACAGGGGAAUAGCCCCGAGAAAUCGGGAUUAAUACUCCGUAACAUUGCGGUGUGGCAUCACACUGCACUUAAAGCUGAGGCGGUUAAAGAUGGGCAUGCGUGACAUUAGCUAGUUGGUGAGGUAACGGCUCACCAAGGCAACGAUGUCUAGGGGUCCUGAGAGGGUUAUCCCCCACACUGGUACUGAGACACGGACCAGACUCCUACGGGAGGCAGCAGUAAGGAAUAUUGGUCAAUGGGCGCAAGCCUGAACCAGCCAUGCCGCGUGCAGGAAGACGGCCCUAUGGGUUGUAAACUGCUUUUGUCAGGGAAUAAACCCCCGCUCGUGAGCGGGGCUGAAGGUACCUGAAGAAUAAGCAUCGGCUAACUCCGUGCCAGCAGCCGCGGUAAUACGGAGGAUGCAAGCGUUAUCCGGAUUCAUUGGGUUUAAAGGGUGCGCAGGCGGAUUGGUAAGUCAGGGGUGAAAUCCCACAGCUCAACUGUGGAACUGCCUUUGAUACUGUCAGUCUAGAGUAUAGUUGAAGUUGGCGGAAUGUGUCAUGUAGCGGUGAAAUGCUUAGAUAUGACACAGAACACCGAUCGCGAAGGCAGCUAGCUAAGCUAUAACUGACGCUCAUGCACGAAAGCGUGGGGAUCAAACAGGAUUAGAUACCCUGGUAGUCCACGCUGUAAACGAUGAUUACUCGAUGUUGGCGAUACACAGUCAGCGUC